CCGCGCCGCCUAUAGAAAACUCGAUGUUGCAGGCGCGGCGGUCCAACUGCUAAGAGUCGAGGCUUCUGGGCUGGGAAAUGGUUGCAGUCAUGAACAUUGGCACAAACUCUGCAGAAAGUCGGGGUUAGAACGGCGGAGUGCACAAAACUCCGCUGCUCGCGCUGGAAACAGUCUGGCACCUCACUCCACAGUCGGGCUCCUGUAGCUUUUGACCCCGCCUCCACCUUUGGAAAGCUGGUGCUCUCUGGACCCAGAGUUUUGCCACAGCCUACAACCCUCUUGAUAACAGGCCGACCCUUCCCCAUCUUUCCUACUAGGGCCCCAGCCUCUCUGGCUCUGGGACUGGUUAAGUUUGCAUGACUGUGUCUCUGUUGGUAAACCACAAACCAUGAGGAAAGUAAGGGGUCCUCUGUGA
rnacentral:lncRNA from 1 species